UCGCAGCCCGGCUUGAGCGGAAAUCCUUUUUUGCAUUGGAAAAAGCCUCGGCAAAAAAGAUUGGGAGUGGAAUACGGAUUAAGC
rnacentral:sRNA from 1 species